rnacentral:tRNA from 1 species
UGACAUAUGGUGAAACGGUAUCACGCUUGACUGUUAAUCAAGUAUUGCAAGUUCGAGUCUUGCUAUGUUGU